rnacentral:rRNA from 1 species
UACAGAGGUCUCAAGCGUUGUUCGGAUUCAUUGGGCGUAAAGGGUGCGUAGGCGGCGCGGUAAGUCGGGUGUGAAAUCUCGGGGCUUUAACUCCGAAACUGCAUUCGAUACUGCCGUGCUUGAGGACUGGAGAGGAGACUGGAAUUUACGGUGUAGCGGUGAAAUGCGUAGAUAUCGUAAGGAAGACCAGUGGCGAAGGCGGGUCUCGUGGACAGUUCCUGACGCUGAGGCACGAAGGCCAGGGGAGCAAACGGG